GUUGCAUUCACCAAGUGAUAAACGCCAUGCAGCAGCCAGAAGUUGCAGUUCCCACGUGACGCGGCAAGCGUGCAAGACAUCAAAGAGGCUAUGGAUCGCCGCCCCACACUGAAUGAGUCACUGUUUGUAAAUCGAAAGGGGGAUCACUCUAUCAACGUGCAACUGAUGUGUUCCUCGGAACUGGAGAUACUGAAUGUGAAUGCGAAGUACCCAGGGAGCACUCAUGAUUCAUUCAUAUGGAAGAAUUCCGCACUGCUCGAUGCACUGUCCUGCAACAGGAUUCCAAGAACGAACUCAUGGCUCAUUGGGAAUAGCGGUACCCUCUGGAGCCGUGGCUCAUGAUGCCCUAUGCUGAAUCGGAGGCAGAAUCUGAUUCAUUGAAAGCAACUUUUAAUAUUUGCCAUCAGAAGGCACGGGCAGUCAUCGAGCAGUCCAACAGAGCCGGUUCCGGUGCCUACAUAGACAUAGAGCACUGCCCUAUUCACCAAGUGUAGCGGGGAACAUUAUAAAUUCCUGUGCAAUUCUCCACAACAUUUGUUUGAGAGAGGGCUUGAGCUAGAGGGUCCCCCAGAGAUAAACUCUGACAUGUUUGACACGUACAGCCAAGCCCGAUCAGGAAGAAAGUCGAGCUGGAGGGGCAAGGGUCACGGACAGAGUUCGCAGUCAGUUAUGCGCAGUGUGAUAUUGCUUUACUACGAUGUCCAAAGGUUUAGUAUGCUUCGCACCCAAAGUGCGUAGAAAAAUAAAUGUGU